rnacentral:rRNA from 1 species
AUUGAACGCUGGCGGCAUGCUUUACACAUGCAAGUCGAACGGCAGCGCGGGCUUCGGCCUGGCGGCGAGUGGCGAACGGGUGAGUAAUACAUCGGAACGUGCCCAGUAGUGGAGGAUAGCUCGGCGAAAGCCGGAUUAAUACCGCAUACGACCUGAGGGUGAAAGCGGGGGAUCUUCGGACCUCGCGCUAUUGGAGCGGCCGAUGGCAGAUUAGCUAGUUGGUGGGGUAAAGGCCUACCAAGGCGACGAUCUGUAGCUGGUCUGAGAGGACGACCAGCCACACUGGAACUGAGACACGGCCCAGACUCCUACGGGAGGCAGCAGUGGGGAAUUUUGGACAAUGGGCGAAAGCCUGAUCCAGCAAUGCCGCGUGUGUGAUGAAGGCCUUCGGGUUGUAAAGCACUUUUGGCGGGAACGAAAAGGACUGUGCCAAUACCACGGUUCGAUGACGGUACCCGCAGAAUAAGCACCGGCUAACUACGUG